CUCGAAGUAUUGGAACGCUGGCGCAUGCCUUACACAUGCAAGUCGAACGGCAGCACGGGAGCAAUCCUGAUGGCGAGUGGCGAACGGUGAGUAAUAUACUCGGAACGUGCCCAGUCGUGGGGGAUAACGUAGCGAAAGUUACGCUAAUACCGCAUACGAUCUACGGAUGAAAGCGGGGGACUCGCAAGAGCCUCGCGCGAUUGGAGCGGCCGAUAUCAGAUUAGGUAGUUGGUGGGGUAAAGGCUCACCAAGCCAACGAUCUGUAGCUGGUCUGANAGGACGACCAGCCACACUGGAACUGAGACACGGUCCAGACUCCUACGGGAGGCAGCAGUGGGGAAUUUUGGACAAUGGACGCAAGUCUGAUCCAGCCAUUCCGCGUGCAGGAUGAAGGCCCUCGGGUUGUAAACUGCUUUGUACGGAACGAAAAGGUUUCUAUUAAUACUAGGAGCUCAUGACGGUACCGUAAGAAUAAGCACCGGCUAACUACGUG
rnacentral:rRNA from 1 species